UAUAUAUAUAUAUAUAUAUACGUAUGUAUAUAUUCUGGCAACUUGUAUAUUGAUUAUCAUUUAAGCUAUCGAAUGGUUGACUUGAAACUCUAAAUCGUAUUUCGUUAGACGGAAUACUACGUACCACCAAGAGUUGUUUGACUGUACGAAGAUACCAUUUUAUAUAAUUUAGUUUCUUAUAUUUGGUUUGAUUACUGGUAUGAAAUCCUGAGAAUACUGCUAUAUUGUCAAGAAAAAAAUAAUAAACCAUUAUAUGUCACAGGAUGAAACUUUGCAUAAAUUUAACUGUAAGAAAAAAAUCUUUGUAUAUCAAUUAAGAAAGUGUUGAGUUUGGGCUAGAGAAAAGAAUGUAUCUUUGUAUAAGUGGUAAAGAACGUCUGUCACAGUUCAAAGAAAUAUCUUAGCUUUAGCUAUGAUAAAUAGUAUAGAGGGCAGUUAAGGUGACAGUCGUUAGCAAAUUAGUAAGCAAAGAAAAACAAGAUAUAUACGUACAGACACGUACAGACACAUACACACACGAUCAUUCACGUAUGUAUGGAUUUUUAUUUAACUAUAUAAACACACAUGUGUAUAUAGUUGUAUGUCUAAGGUGACACACAUGCGAGAAACCCUGUAAGUUCAACUACACAUCCGCAUGUUAGAUAUGCACAAUUCAUUCCUACAUACGUGACAAUGACUAACACACACAUCUGACUUGAUAAAGAGACAUCUGUCUGAAAAUUCUGGGCCAGUUAUCAAUAAAAUUAUCAUAGUCAUCACACACACACACGCACAGAUGCACUCUCUCUCUGUCGCUCUCUCACACUCACAUGCACACACACUCACAUGCACACACACUCACAUGCACACACACUCACGCAUAGAAUUCCUUGCAUAGAUGUAUGUAUGUCUACACAAACAUAUAUGUGUAUAUUGACAUAUAUAUAUGGUCUGAUCACUAAGAAUCCGGCCUCUUGCUAUAGUAAUGAAGCUAAAGCACGCGGAGUAAAGCCGCGUGGCACAAAUUGACGUUGAACGCUGCUGUGCAUGCACAGGAAGUUUUAUCCUUCUAGCUCACCUCUGCUGUUUACAGCAGUGCUUGGAAGGAAGGUGUGUAGCAUGUGAUCGUCACAUUGACCAUGACAGAGAAAGUUGUCAUAGCGAUACCUGCUCAGAGGCCCGCGCGGAGUUACAGACCGGGCGUUGUGUGUGUUUAUUGAGCGAAAACACCUAAAGCUCCACGAGGUUCCGGCAGGGGGUGGUGGCGACCCCUGUUGUACUCUUUCGCUCCAACUUUCUCUCACUCUUUCUUCCUGUUUCUUGUCCCCGACUUCCUACGCAACCGCUGAGCCUGGAUGCGCAUUCAUCCAUCCGUCGAUGCUCUCGGUGUCGGGGGUUGACCUGCUUUCUCUUCUGCGGGUCUUACGGAUAACAAAGGACCACGUUUCGGACUUCUCCCAUCUUGCGAGCUCUGGGAAGAAGACCGCUUCGCUCAACAGCAACAUCAACAGCAGCAGCAGCAGCAACAUCGUCAACAGCAGCAAAGAUAUCGGCAGCCACUAUCACACCAAUUGCGUCAGCAGCAGCAGCAGCAGCAGCAGCAGCAACAAUAAUAGGUGCCCCACCGACAUCGCGCGUCCACGGAAAUAUAUUGUUUGUACCGGAAAUUCAUUCAAGAAUCAUUUUUUCGAAACAGGGAGCUUCCUUCUGAGUCCCGGUAAGGAGAUAAGUAACAUCGCUGGUCAGUCAUGUUCGGCAACUAAAAGACGACGGAGUUCCACACUCGAUCUCAUGGAAGAUCAUUGGACGAAACGCUGAGAGCUAUGCAUAGCUGAACGCACGAGAAUCCUAAGUGACUCACUCGAGCCAGGAGCUAUGUUUAACUCCAGAGCAGAGAUUUUCGGGCCAUGUCUGCAUAUUAGGAAAUUUCUGCUGGCCUUUUGGGAACCGUCGGAAGUUGAUGGCUAAGGGGAGAGGGAAAUAAUACCCUAUUGUUUAUCCUUAUAGGUGAUCGAUGGCAGCAAGGCCGGAAGUGGAUAGCCAUUACCAAAGGAAGAUAAUCCAGACCUUUACCCUCCUUAUUUGAAAGAGGUCAUAGGCCAAUAGGUCUUCGGGUCUGAAUAUAUGCCAUAAAGUUAAGCCCUUUAUGGGCGGGAAACCCAGGGUAGCCCCAUAAACCACCCUUCACCAGGAAUACACACACACACACACACACAC
rnacentral:lncRNA from 1 species